AUUGCAACGUUUAGAACCGCUGCAGCGAUUCACAUGCUUUUGUUUUUCUAAAUGUUAACUCAAUACUCACUUUAUCGACUCCCAUCACUCGACAGUGGCCGUGUUGCAGUCGACAUCUAAGUGAGGUUAGCUUACUUUUUGUAUAAAAAUUACAGCUACAUCUUGAACGCACAAUUUUUCAAGAAUGAAGACCAAAGUCAUAUGCUUUCGUCAUGCGACUACACACCACAGUCCAACAUGGCGGCCACGUCUGUUUUCCACAGAGCGAGAACAGGUUCGAAAAUAGGAGCUCAAUAUGAUCAAGAGGGAAAUCUUAUUCAGGUUGAAACAAGGGAGGACGAGGAGCUGAGUGUCAAGCUAGCAGAAAUCCUGGAACUUAUUCUUGCUGCUGGAUAUUUCAGAGCCCGAAUAAAAGGACUGGGACCUUUUGACAAGGUGGUUGGAGGGAUGACAUGGUGCAUCACAACAUGUAACUUUGACAUUGAUGUGGAUCUGCUGUUCCAGGAGAAUUCAACUAUUGGACAGAAAAUCGCUCUCACAGAGAAGAUUGUGUCUGUUCUGCCCAAAAUGAAGUGCCCUUAUUGCCAGGAGCCUCAUCAGAUCCAAGGGCUGGAUUUCAUCCAUAUAUUUCCAGUGAUACAGUGGCUGAUGAAGAGGGCCAUAGAGACGAGGGAGGAGAUGGGAGACUAUGUGAGAGCCUAUUCUGUCUCUCAGUUCCAGAAGACACACAGCUUCCCUGAGGAUGAAGACUUCCUCCAGAGGAAGGAAAAGGCUGUGAAAGCAGUCCUAGAUGUAUUGGCAGAGGAACGGAAAGCCUUGUUGAUGCCAGGCUCUCAGGCCACACCCCCAGGGAUUACAGAGGGGUCGCAGGAGGAGGAGGACCUGCAGGCAGCGGAGGAGCUGCGCAUCAAAACACUGAUGCCCAGCAUGGCUGCCAUGGUGACUGAUGAGGGGAGGCUAACGGCUAGCACAGUGGGACAGAUAGUUGGCUGCAGUCUGAGGAGAUUAAACAGAUAGCAUCUGAGUAUGCUGAGAAGUUGGAGAGGUCUGCAGAGGACCGCCCAGAGCGGUACAGGCCAAUCCAGCAGCACCGUAGGAUAGUGACCUCUCUGAACAAACAGAUCCAACAGAAGACCAAGCAGUUGGAGGAGCUAUAAGCCAAACACUUGGGUGUAAAAUCAGGGUGUGUAGAAGCUAAGAGCAAACUGUUGGAGGCCACAGAGCAGACCGAGAGACUGGAGAAAGAGCCUAGUGCCCUGGAAGUGGCAGAGGGCCAGGCUGAUACUGGACUGUUGGAGAAGCUGAGGGCUCUGGUAGGCAUGAAUGAGAACCCGAAGCACCAAGAGCAGGAGUUCCGGACACAUUGUAGAGAGUAGAUGGUUCACCUGCAGCAGAACAUUGAGGACCUGAAGAUGGAGUCAGGAGAUGAUACGGAGGACGAGAAGGUAACACACUCCCAAGACCAGCGAACUCUUUUUUUGUCUAUGUUCAAUAAAUGUUACACUGUGAGUGACUUUCUUUCCCCCUCUUUCUCACUCUCUCCCUGAGGAGAGGAGUCAGCUAAUCGACAAGCAGUACAACACAGACAGAGGAAAGCUACAGAAGAUCAGACUGAUGAUGGCUUGGAGGAACCGUAAGAUAGCCAUCCUGCAGAGGAAGAUAGACGAGGUGCCGAGCAGGGCGGAACUGAACCAGUAU